UACGUAGGUGGCAAGCGUUAUCCGGAUUUAUUGGGUUUAAAGGGAGCGUAGGUGGAUUGUUAAGUCAGUUGUGAAAGUUUGCGGCUCAACCGUAAAAUUGCAGUUGAAACUGGCAGUCUUGAGUACAGUAGAGGUGGGCGGAAUUCGUGGUGUAGCGGUGAAAUGCUUAGAUAUCACGAAGAACUCCGAUUGCGAAGGCAGCCUGCUGGACUGUAACUGACGCUGAUGCUCGAAAGUGUGGGUG
rnacentral:rRNA from 1 species